rnacentral:rRNA from 1 species
UACGUAGGGGGCAAGCGUUGUCCGGAUUUAUUGGGCGUAAAGAGCGUGUAGGCGGCCAUUCAGGUCAGCUGUGAAAACUCGAGGCUCAACCUCGAGACGUCGGUUGAAACCGUUUGGCUAGAGUCCGGAAGAGGAGAGUGGAAUUCCCGGUGUAGCGGUGAAAUGCGCAGAUAUCGGGAAGAACACCGGUGGCGAAGGCGGGUCUCUGGGCCGAUACUGACGCUGAGGAGCGAAAGCGUGGGGAGCGAACAGG